UAUCACAAUUGACUGUACUUUGGCUAUCUGAAAUCAAUUAUCAAACUACAAAACACCAAGGCUUAUUACUUCCAUCUUGAUUCAACACAUAAUCCAUUCUAUGACUAUCAAUUCAACAAUACUUCUCUCAAUCACAAUUCUUUAUAAGCAAAUAAUAAAAGCAAAAAAAACAAAGAGGUAGCACCAAGAUUAUCCCGACUUACGAUUCUCACAAUCUGGCUUUGAUCUCUCUUUCUUCAACCUAUUUAUCCUACCAAAAAGAUGAUCCAUGAGCGAGUAGAUUCCAAAGGUUAUGAUCCUUUGAAUUCUUAACCAUUUAUUCCACUAACAACCUACUAUUACCAACUAAAUUGCCUAACCAUCAGUCUAAUUCUCAAGGUUAUCAAUAACCAACCAGUAACUUACCACAAAGUUUAUUUAUCUAUUCUACAUAGCCCCACUCCUAAUUGUACAACGUCCUCGUAAAUAUUAUUUAGCUCCAACUUAUAAAGACGUAGCA
rnacentral:lncRNA from 1 species